UUAUUAUUAAAGUUGUCUUUACUUAUAGCUUUUGAUCUCGUCCUGACUGCUCACGCCUUCCUUGAUCUGGUUUGUUCUUGCACUCCCGGGCUAAAUGUCCCUCUUUUCCACAUGCCCAGCAACAUGUCCCUCUUUGAUUUGCUCCUCCUGGUCUGGGCCUAUCUUGUCCUCUACCUCUGAAUCCUCUUCUGCUUCUGCCCCUAAAUCUGCCUCUUGCAUUUUGAUAGAAGGCUUCAUUUUCAUUGUCACCUUCUGCAAAAAAUGCACUAGCUCCAUUUGUUCUUCCCUUUUUUUUUUUUCCUUUCUCCAUCCUCUCUGGCUUUUGCUACUUUUUUCCAUUCAUCAAUCAUUUGACAACCAUAUUCUAUGCUUAUGGAGUCUUGUAGUUUAUUUAAUUGGCUUGUUCUUAGGCUGCCAUCGAAUCCAAAUUUAGUUACCCAUAAUUCGAGGAAUUGUAAUUUUUCGGGUUCUUUCUCAAAGAUUCUCCAAUCUUGACAUCUUAAUUCUUCUAAAUUAGCCUUAUUGGCUUCCGUCCCCAUUUUUAUGUGUUUUGGUCCAGCUUAGGUGACACCUAGGGUGUCCUAUUAAGCUGGGUUCUUUCAAUGGGGUAGUGAUAAAAAUUCCUUAUGUGGUAAUUCUCACUUCUACUCUUGCGAGUGGAGAAUUCUUGCCUUUGCUUCCACAAUAAGGUCACUACUUACAAUCCCACUGUUUUGGUAUGAAUAGGAUAUAUCUAGUGAUAUAUCUCUAUUCCAAUCACUCUCACACUUUCACAAUCACACUUUUAACACGUGUUUUGUUCUGCAGAAUUUUCUCAACUAGGCCUUUGUCAACGGUACCACACCGGACACGCGCGUCUUCAUCGGAAUUUAAACUACAUCUAAGCUGUGUCUGAAUUGGGCCAACGUGUUUAGUAUGUUGGAGUAGGAUCUAGCAGUAGCACGUAGCAGUAGCAUGUAGUAUGCGAGUGGGCAAUUCGGACACAGCACUAGUUAGUAGGACUCCGGCAUCCCUCUCGGAAUUUAAACUAUUUCUAGUAGGACUCCGGCACCCUUCCUCGGAAUUUAAACUACAUCUAGUAGUAGGACUCCGGCACCCUUCUCGGAAUUUAAACUACAUCUAGUAGUAGGACUCCGGCACCCUUCUCGGAAUUUAAACUAUUUCUAGUAGGACUCCGGCACCCUUCUCGGAAUUUAAACUAUUUCUAGUAGGACUCCGGCACCCUUUUUGGUCUUUUAUAGAUUCUCUACGCGAAGUGAAUCUCAAUCAUUCCACGUUCCUUUUUAUAAAAGACCAACUCACCACUUGUCUUUCCCCUUGGCUUCGGAUUUCCGUCAACCGUCGGAUCCCAGCAGGCGGAUCGAGUCCAGUUCCUCAAAGAGGUCUUUAAGACUCAUCCUAAAGAGUCUGCCGUGGCCACGGUCUUAUCUGUCGUCCACCUCACCUGCUGGAAUCGUCUGGUCUAUUGGAAUCCGGCUUGAAGGACCAAAGAAAUGUUAGGUUUAAAACCUGCUUGCAUUUACCUGAAAUAAAAAGGAGAAAGACAAUGGAUAUGUUUGAGUAAUGGACAGAGAUCUGUUUUAGCUAUCUCAGUACCACACUAAGGAUACUUUUCUCUGUCCGCCCCUUUUAUUUACAGUUGUCCCUGGUUACACAAUGUUUCUAAAAAUGUGGGAGUAAAUGUGCUGCAAAGUAAGCAUUUAAUAAUGAACAAUUUGUGAAUAGCUGAAGGUCAAGGCGGCAUCAAACGAGCUCCUUCUGAUAAGGAUGGAUCCUUCUCAGGAGUUCCCACGAUUCAUUUUCGGAGAAUACGUCACCCCCACAUCCACACCUGCUGAUAGCGGAAACACGGUCAUAGAACACAGAAGAAAACAUUGUGUACUGUGUAGUAAAGCUAAAGAAAAGAGAGAAGUUAGGAAAACUCUUAUAUGAUUAAAAUACUCUAAUAUAAUGUAUAGAAAAGAUGUCAAAGAGUUUAUAUUUGUAGUAUAAACUCUUACAUAAGAAUAUGAGGAAUAAUGAUAACUUCUAUAUACAUUUAUGCACAUUAUUCUAACAUUUUUGUUGUUUGUUUAUAUGUUAAGUUCUUUCUCUGCUAGCAGACAGAUGUUUUAUUGUUCAGGUCAUGCAGUGUUUGAUUGCAUGAUUCAGACUUGAUUUUCUUGUAAAUUCAUGUUUUAUCAAGAAUACAAAAUUAUUUCCCUAAAUGUCAAUGGGCUGCAGAACUCCAUAAAAAGGAGUAUAGCAGUUGCUAAAAUGAAAAAAGAGAAACACACCUCUCUUAUUCUAAUUUUGAAUAAAUUAGAUUUCCAAUUCUCCUCACAAAUUAGGGAUAAGGAAGGAUGCUAAAUACUGCUUUUUAUUAAUGACAAGGGAAUAACACUUCUUAUUGUAUAUAGACCACCUGGAAGCACUAAGCACUUUAUCAGGAGGAUUUUUGACAUACUAUCUAUGGACUCGUCAGGUGGAUUGAUUUGUGGGGGAGACUGGAACACCCAUAACACACCAUAAUUUCAGGAAAGAGAUAACAAAGUUGGACAAUGCAGUUGUAGCUGUUAUUAGGUACCAGGAUUUCCCUGGGUUUCUGGAGUGCAUAAGUGAUGUGGUUUUAGGUGGUAAGUAGUGGGUUAAUGGAAGUUGAAUGGGGUGGAAUCGAUGUGAAUAAAAAAUCCUACUGCAUCAUGUCUUGAUAAUCAUACAGAUGAGCAAGAUGGGAUGGAUCCAGGCGAGGAGAUGUGCACAGAACCAAAAUCAUCUUGUGAUGCCCAAACACAGUGGUCAGACCCAGGAAUGGAGGAUCACAUCUAUUCAAAAGGAACCAUCAUCACAUGUGGAAUUCAUUCACCACCACCAGAACUGCCACACCCUGCUGCUGACAGCAUGUUAGAGACUGAUGCAGACUCCCUUCUGUAUACAGGUAUCCCUCUCACUGAAUUUAAAACACUUGUAGCCUGCCUGAAACCAUUUGCCCCAUCAUCACCAUCAGUGCCAGUUGUGGACCAAAUUUUUAUGACUUUGAUGAAACUACAACAAAACGUUGUCAUGGCUGAUUUAGCACACCGAUUUAAAGGUCAGGUCAGUAAGACAGUUGGAAUGUGGAUUGACAUAAUGUGUAAACACAUGAAAGAUCUCAUUAUGUGGUUGCCUCGUGAGACAAUCAAAGCAACAUUGCCCGAAGCUUUUACACUGUGUGCACAAUUAUUAGGCAAGUGAGUAUUUUGAUCAUAUCAUCAUUUUUAUGCAUAUUUUCCAACUCCAAGCUGUAUAAACUUGAAUGCUUAUUGGAUAUAAGCACAUCAGGUAAUGUGUAUUAGUGUAAUGAGGGAGGCUGGGGCCUAAGGAGAUCAAAACCCUAUAUCAAGGUGUGCAUAAUUAUUAGGCAGCUUCUUUUCCUCACGUAAAAUGGGCCAAAAAAGAGAUUUAAGUGACUCUGAAAAGUCAAAAAAUGUAAAAAGUCUUUCAGAUGGAUGCAGCACUCUUGAAAUUGCUUAGAUAUUUGGGCGUGAUCACAGAAUCAGCAAACAUUUUGAUGCAAAUAGUCAACAGGGUCGCAAGAAAUGUGUUAAGAAAAAAAGACGCAAAUUAACUGCCAAAGAUUUGAGAAGACUCAAACGUAAAGCUACCAGGAACCCAUUAUCCUCCGGUGCUGUCAUAUUCCAGAACUGCAACCUACCUGGUGUGCCCAGAAGUACAAGAUGAUCAGUGCUCAGAGACAUGGCCAAGGUAAGGAAGGCUGAAAUCCGACCACCACUGUACAAGACUCAAGUUGAAACGUCAAGACUGGGCCAAGAAAUAUCUGAAGAGAGAUUUUUCAAAGGUUUUAUGGACUGAUGGGAUGAGAGUGACUCUUGACGGACCAGAUGGAUGGACCCGUGGCUGGAUCAGUAAUGGGCACAGAGCUCCACUUUGAAUCAGACACCAGCAAGGUGGAGGCGGGGUACUGGUAUGGGCUGGUAUUAUUAAAGAUGAGCUAGCUGGACCUUUUCGAGUUGAAGAUGGACUUAAAAUCAACUCCCAAAUCCACUGCCAGUUUUGAGAAGACACUUUCUUCAAGCAGUGGUACAGGCAAAAGUCUGCAUCUUUAAAGAAAACCAUGAUUUUUAUGCAGGACAAUGCUCCAUUGCAUGCAACAAAGUACUCCACUAUGUGGCUCGCCAGUAAAGGCCUUAAAAACGAAAGAAUAAUGAUGUGGCCUCCUUUUUCACCUGACCUAAACCCUAUUAAGAACUUGUGAGCCCUUCUUAAAUGGG